CCUACGGGAGGCAGCAGUGGGGAAUUUUGGACAAUGGGCGCAAGCCUGAUCCAGCAAUGCCGCGUGCAGGAUGAAGGCCUUCGGGUUGUAAACUGCUUUUGUACGGAACGAAACGGUGAGCUCUAAUACAGUUUGCUAAUGACGGUACCGUAAGAAUAAGCACCGGCUAACUACGUGCCAGCAGCCGCGGUAAUACGUAGGGUGCGAGCGUUAAUCGGAAUUACUGGGCGUAAAGCGUGCGCAGGCGGUGAUGUAAGACAGAUGUGAAAUCCCCGGGCUCAACCUGGGACCUGCAUUUGUGACUGCAUCGCUAGAGUACGGUAGAGGGGGAUGGAAUUCCGCGUGUAGCAGUGAAAUGCGUAGAUAUGCGGAGGAACACCGAUGGCGAAGGCAAUCCCCUGGACCUGUACUGACGCUCAUGCACGAAAGCGUGGGGAGCAAACAGGAUUAGAUACCCUGGUAGUCCACGCCCUAAACGAUGUCAACUGGUUGUUGGGUCUUCACUGACUCAGUAACGAAGCUAACGCGUAGAAGUUGACCGCCGUGGGGAGGUACGGCCGCGAGGUUAGUAACGUACGAAGUAGUAGUUAGUACGGACGUUGAGACGNGGCCGACGGACGACGACGAGGGAGGUAGG
rnacentral:rRNA from 1 species